rnacentral:rRNA from 1 species
UACGGAGGAUGCAAGCGUUAUCCGGAUUCACUGGGUUUAAAGGGUGCGUAGGCGGCUUAUUAAGUCAGGGGUGAAAGACGGUGGCUCAACCAUCGCAGUGCCUUUGAUACUGAUGAGCUUGAAUACACUUGAGGUAGGCGGAAUGUGACAAGUAGCGGUGAAAUGCAUAGAUAUGUCACAGAACACCAAUUGCGAAGGCAGCUUACUAAGGUGCAAUUGACGCUGAGGCACGAAAGCGUGGGGAUCAAACAGG